rnacentral:misc_RNA from 1 species
GGAGUAUUGGUGGGAAUCACAUAAAAGAGCUGAGAAAACUAUGUUAUCUAUUUUGAAUUCUAUCAAUAAAAUUACUGUUCUCUGUCUAAUUCUCUGUUUCCACUAUAAUUUCUCUUUUGUUCUAUCCUUUUCUUCCAUUCUUUCUCCUUGAUUCUUCUCUAGUUCCUGCUGUAACUGAAUAGUUAGUGUUUCAAUCCUAACAGUUAGACAAUCAAAUAAUUUGACAGAAUUAGAGGAAUUAAUGUCAUUUUGGACAGUGUAAACUGUCCUGUCUUGAUUGACUCAAACGCAAGACAAUACAAAUAUUUUUCUUUUCUUGUACUGUCCAGUCCCACAUUGUCCUGUCUAGCCAACCAAAUGCAGCCCUAGGGUAGUCAGAUAUACGGAAAGCUCAUUAUCAC